AUACGAUAAGCAAACUGGGCCAACAGCAAAGAAAUAAGCUGAAAUACUUCAUCAACCUCCCAAAUUACUGACGCUUAAUAUCACAGAGACUUAUUGUGUAAGUUGCGUAGGAGUGAUGACGUCAGAGGAUCCUAUGAUCGACGCAUGCUCAUGAUGGCUCGCAUGUAACCCCAGCCAAUAACCGGCUUGACCUGUUUUGGCGGGAAGCUUGCGUGGGACAAUGGUUCAUAGCUGGAAUUGUCUGCAUGACCCUGGCAUAUUUGUCAAGGAAACAGUAUACUAUCGUGAAGGAGGAAGAUUCAGCCUGAUUUAUUGCAUUCUUCCUUGAUGAAUAAUAAAAUAAAUCAAGGUUCAUGGUUCAAACGGAUGUUCUAGAAUCCCAUUUGCCGCGUUUCUCUUCCUUGAAUCACACACACAAGACUUGCACAACAAUAACUUUUCUAGAAUUUAUUCGCAAAUAAGCCAUAAGAAAUAUGCACAAACCAUACAAAAAUAGAAAAAAAACAUUUUUUUUUUAUAAUAUACAGCAGUACUGACAAAGUAAUAGGCUGAUAUCGUAAUAUUCAGGUUCGGAGGCGAACUGAGGAAGAAAUUUUACAAAUUUUCCAGGGAAGGAGAGGAAAAGGUACAGGUAUCGUCAUGAAUAAAGAUAAAUCAAAACAUAUCAAAAACCCUUGCACAGCAAUAAAUAAUUAUAGCUAGUCAUUCUUUGAUGAAAAGCAGACUUCGGUAGAAAAAAAUCUAUUCUAGAAUUGCCAGAUUUAGGCUUAUAAAAAUGUACAAACUUGCCAAAAAAUAUCCGCUAGCAUAGCGGUCACCUUUCAUUUUCCACGUGCGGACACCAGAUGAGAACGAAAAGCCGUGAAAUUGGUUAGGCGUGCCCGCGAAAAUUAGAAACAGCGGUGUCUUCAAUGUUCGUAUCACAUUUACACAUACUGACUACUAGUUACAACUAUAUAGCUUAUAUUAUUAAUCUAGAAUCUUUAUGCUCGCGACAAUUAUAUCAGAUAUUUAUUUUCAUGCUUAUCUGUUAAUGGUAGAACUCUACUUUGUCAAAUUUUAUAUAAAUAUGUAGUAUUUAGUAUAUCUAAGCUUCGGUAAUUCGCAAACCACUCGAAGAAACCCGGCAUCCCUAGCGCGCUUACUCAAACAGUCCAAGCAUUCUUAGCGGGCUCAUUAAAAAAAAAAAAAAAAUCCAAGCAUUUUUAGCGG